rnacentral:rRNA from 1 species
UGGGGAAUUUUGGACAAUGGGCGCAAGCCUGAUCCAGCCAUGCCGCGUGAGUGAAGAAGGCCUUCGGGUUGUAAAGCUCUUUCAGAUGAGAAGAAACGGUUUUGGCUAAUAACUGAGACUAAUGACGGUAUCAUCAGAAGAAGCACCGGCUAACUACGUGCCAGCAGCCGCGGUAAUACGUAGGGUGCGAGCGUUAAUCGGAAUUACUGGGCGUAAAGCGUGCGCAGGCGGUUUUGUAAGACAGACGUGAAAUCCCCGGGCUUAACCUGGGAACUGCGUUUGUGACUGCAAGGCUAGAGUAUGGCAGAGGGGGGUAGAAUUCCACGUGUAGCAGUGAAAUGCGUAGAUAUGUGGAGGAAUACCGAUGGCGAAGGCAGCCCCCUGGGUCAAUACUGACGCUCAUGCACGAAAGCGUGGGGAGCAAACAGG